UACAGAGGGUGCAAGCGUUAAUCGGAAUUACUGGGCGUAAAGCGCGCGUAGGUGGAUAAUUAAGUCGGAUGUGAAAGCCCUGGGCUCAACCUAGGAAUUGCAUUCGAUACUGAUUGUCUAGAGUAUGGUAGAGGGAAGUGGAAUUUCCGAAGUAGCGGUGAAAUGCAUAGAUAUCGGAAGGAACACCAGUGGCGAAGGCGGCUUCCUGGGCCAAUACUGACACUGAGGCGCGAAAGCGUGGGGAGCAAACAGG
rnacentral:misc_RNA from 1 species